ACACAGCUGGCGCCCCGCUCCGUAGGAUCCAAGUACGCCCCUCUCCGUGGUGUUCACUGAUUGCUUGGAGCAACAACGUGCUGUUGGAGUUGCCGAAGCAUUAGGUGAUUCGAUUGUGUGCGUUUGCUGGAUUUGUUUGACGAAGGAAAUAUGACGAUGAAGGGCACACAGAGGAGUGUGAGCGGUGAUGGUACCAAGGUUACCGGCAGACUUGCUCUCAGUUUUUAUUCUUGGCAGGUGAUUCUUCAUGAUAAUUUUUUGUAGAGGAACAUUUUUGCGAUGGGGCCGGGAACGGUGAUCGGUGGUGCUGGUGUCGGCAGUGCGGUACAAGGUCAGGAUGUGGGACGGGACGGCCAUCCGUGUGAGGCAGUCGGCGGCGAGGGUUUGUGGCAUCACGAGGAGCGCCCGCGGAUUCAAGGUGUUGGCCCGAGACCUCUGACGAGGGAGGAGACGAUGUUAGUAUUUCCAGAGGAAAGAAACAAGAGAAGAAGAACAAGAACAACAACGGCAAUCUCGGGUUCCAGGUACGAUGGAGCCGGCGGCGAAGCGCAUGGCGCUCGCAAACGUGAUAGUGGAUGACGACGAUACCCUCAACUGCGGCAUCUGCUACCUCCCUCCCAAGCCACCAGUCUUCCAGAACUCAGAUUUAUGACAAGGACACAAGCAAAUUUAUAGCAUCCGUUGUGAUGAUACAAGGGAAGUAAGCAUAGAUGCGCUUAACGUGAUGAUAGAUGGGAGAGCUCGGCCUAUGCUGCCAACUGAUCUGCAGCGGUGCAGAAGGAGAUUUCAAAAGCAGGGCAAGCGAGAGCGACUGUUCUAUUGAUGGUCAAAGGGAGGGCUUGGCAAGAGAGAUUGAGGGAGCUCUACUACCUCGAUCUUGGCAUAGAACCUGAUGGCAUCAUGCCCAGGAAACUUCCUUCUUCAGUAUGUAUGGGGAUUUAUAUGACACCAAAAGAGAAGUCCGGCGUGUUUCUUGGUUCUAUGGAACCCCUCGACCGGAAGCAAAUAGAUCACAUCGCAAGUUGCUUGCCCAAUAUAAUCGUGCCGCAAGUUACCAACAUCGCGUGCUUAUACACCAUCGACUUUGCUGGAAAUCUAUCUGUCCGUGCUCCACCGUCUGUCGGAACUUCUUCUGCCCAUGCUACACCUGAGGUACAUACUACAGUCUCAUCAAUUAAUAAUACCCAAUUGCUUGUCUGUUG